ACGGAAGGCAGCAGUGAGGAAUAUUGGUCAAUGGACGGAAGUCUGAACCAGCCAAGUAGCGUGAGGGAUGACGGCCCUAUGGGUUGUAAACCUCUUUUGUGAGGGAAUAAAGUGCGCCACGUGUGGUGUAUUGCAUGUACCUUACGAAUAAGGAUCGGCUAACUCCGUGCCAGCAGCCGCGGUAAUACGGAGGAUCCGAGCGUUAUCCGGAUUUAUUGGGUUUAAAGGGAGCGUAGGCGGAAGGUCAAGUCAGCUGUGAAAUGUAGUCGCUCAACGUCUGCACUGCAGUUGAAACUGGCCUCCUUGAGUGCGUAAGAGGCAGGUGGAAUUCGUCGUGUAGCGGUGAAAUGCUUAGAUAUGACGAAGAACUCCGAUUGCGAAGGCAGCUUGCUAGGCCGCAACUGACGCUGAAGCUCGAAGGUGCGGGUAUCAAACAGGAUUAGAUACCCUGGUA
rnacentral:rRNA from 1 species